rnacentral:rRNA from 1 species
AGUGGGGAAUAUUGGACAAUGGGCGAAAGCCUGAUCCAGCAAUACCGCGUGUGUGAAGAAGGCCUGAGGGUUGUAAAGCACUUUCAAUGGGAAGGAAUACCUGCCGGUUAAUACCCGGUAGACUGACAUUACCCAUACAAGAAGCACCGGCUAACUCCGUGCCAGCAGCCGCGGUAAUACGGAGGGUGCAAGCGUUAAUCGGAAUUACUGGGCGUAAAGCGUGCGUAGGCGGUUAUUUAAGUCAGAUGUGAAAGCCCUGGGCUUAACCUGGGAACUGCAUUUGAUACUGGAUGACUAGAGUUGAGUAGAGGAGAGUGGAAUUUCAGGUGUAGCGGUGAAAUGCGUAGAGAUCUGAAGGAACACCAGUGGCGAAGGCGGCUCUCUGGACUCAAACUGACGCUGAGGUACGAAAGCGUGGGUAGCAAACAGGAUUAGAUACCCCGGUAGUCCACGCCGUAAACGAUGUCAACUAACCGUUGGGUUCUUAAAGAACUUAGUGGUGGAGCUAACGUAUUAAGUUGACCGCCUGGGGAGUACGGCCGCAAGGCUA